rnacentral:tRNA from 1 species
AGAAACUUAGGAUAAAAUAAACCAAGGACCUUCAAAGUCCUAAAUAGGGGCACCCCCCCCUAGUUUCUG